rnacentral:rRNA from 1 species
CUACGGGGGGCAGCAGUGGGGAAUUUUGGACAAUGGGGGCAACCCUGAUCCAGCCAUGCCGCGUGAGUGAAGAAGGCCUUCGGGUUGUAAAGCUCUUUCAGCCGGGAAGAAAUCGCAUGGGUUAAUACCCUGUGCGGAUGACGGUACCGGAAUAAGAAGCACCGGCUAACUACGUGCCAGCAGCCGCGGUAAUACGUAGGGUGCGAGCGUUAAUCGGAAUUACUGGGCGUAAAGCGUGCGCAGGCGGAUGCUUAAGUCAGAUGUGAAAUCCCCGGGCUUAACCUGGGAAUUGCAUUUGAAACUGGGUGUCUAGAGUGCGUCAGAGGGGGGUGGAAUUCCACGUGUAGCAGUGAAAUGCGUAGAUAUGUGGAGGAACACCAAUGGCGAAGGCAGCCCCCUGGGAUGACACUGACGCUCAUGCACGAAAGCGUGGGGAGCAAACAGGAUUAGAUACCCCUGUAGUC